rnacentral:rRNA from 3 species
AAGUCGUAACAAGGUUUCCGUAGGUGAACCUGCGGAAGGAUCAUUAUCGUAACAACAAACAAACCCAGGGGGCUGUCGCUGACCCCGUAAAUGGGGUCGUGCACGCCCUUUGAGCUUGCAACAAAAAUAUAUCCAUCUCACCCCUUGUGCAUCCCUGCGUGGGUUUUUAUUUUAUUUUAAAAGCCUACGUUUUUUUUUCAUAUAGACCUCAUUUAAAAAAAGUGUAGAAUGUAUUAUCAUCGUUAAUGCGAUCAAUACAACUUUCAACAACGGAUCUCUUGGCUCUCGCAUCGAUGAAGGACGCAGCGAAAUGCGAUACGUAAUGUGAAUUGCAGAAUUCAGUGAAUCAUCGAAUCUUUGAACGCACCUUGCACCCUUCGGUCAUUCCGAGGGGUACGCCUGUUUGAGUGUCGUGAAAUCCUCAACCCCUUCUCCAUUUCUUCUAGAUCUGGGGGAAAGGCUUGGACUUUGGAGGUUACUGCUGGCAUCUUACUCGAGGCUAGCUCCUCUUAAAGGAAUUAGCAAAGGACCCUUUUUGCCGAUCCUUGAUGUGAUAAGGUUUCUCCUACAUCUAGGGGUUUUUAGGCUUUAUAAGGCCUGCUUAUAAUCGUCUCACAUACAGAGUGGUGUAAACCCUUUGACCUCAAAUCAGGCGAGACUACCCGCUGAACUUAA